GACGAGGGGUCCAAGCGUUGUCCGGAAUUAUUGGGCGUAAAGGGCUCGUAGGCGGUUUGUCGCGUCGGGAGUGAAAACGCCGUGCUUAACACGGCGCUUGCUUUCGAUACGGGCAGACUAGAGGUAUUCAGGGGAGAACGGAAUUCCUGGUGUAGCGGUGAAAUGCGCAGAUAUCAGGAGGAACACCGGUGGCGAAGGCGGGUCUCUGGGCAGUAACUGACGCUGAGGAGCGAAAGCGUGGGUAGCAAACAGG
rnacentral:rRNA from 1 species